rnacentral:rRNA from 1 species
UGGGGAAUCUUGGACAAUGGGGGCAACCCUGAUCCAGCCAUGCCGCGUGAGUGAUGAAGGCCUUAGGGUCGUAAAGCUCUUUCGCCUGUGAAGAUAAUGACGGUAGCAGGUAAAGAAACCCCGGCUAACUCCGUGCCAGCAGCCGCGGUAAUACGGAGGGGGUUAGCGUUGUUCGGAAUUACUGGGCGUAAAGCGCACGUAGGCGGAUCGGAAAGUUGGGGGUGAAAUCCCGGGGGCUCAACCCCGGGAACGGCCUCCAAAACUAUCGGUCUAGAGUUCGAGAGAGGUGAGUGGAAUUCCGAGUGUAGAGGUGAAAUUCGUAGAUAUUCGGAGGAACACCAGUGGCGAAGGCGGCUCACUGGCUCGAUACUGACGCUGAGGUGCGAAAGUGUGGGGGAGCAAACAGGAUUAGAUACCCUGGUAGUCCACACCGUAAACGAUGAAUGCCAGUCGUCGGAUAGUAUACUAUUCGGUGACACACCUAACGGAUUAAGCAUUCCGCCUGGGGAGUACGGUCGCAAGAUU